GUAUGGCAACCAAAAUCCAACAUCUAGUAGACGUUAUUAUGGUAACGUCCAAUCAACGUCAAGUUAUAACAUCAUUUGAUGUUGAUCUUUAGUUAGUUUUAGGUUGUGGCAUUAACUAACCAAAAUCCAACGUCGAGCCAACGUCUCAAGCCAACGUCACAUUGACAUCAAAAACUUAUGUUUUGUCGUCAGGUAUGGCAACCAUAAUCCAACGUUUUCUAGACGUCAUAAUGGCAACAUCCACACAACGUCUAUUUAAAACAUCAUUUGAUGUUGAUCUGUAGUUAGUUUUAUGUUGUGGCAUUAACUAACCAAAAUCCAACGUCGAGCCAACGUCUCAAGCCAGCGUCACAUUGACAUCAAAUACUGAUGUUUUGUCGUCAGGUAUGGCAACCAAAAUCCAACAUCUAGUAGACGUCAUUAUGGUAACGUCCAAUCAACGUCAAGUUAUAACAUCAUUUGAUGUUGAUCUUUAGUUAGUUUUAGGUUGUGGCAUUAACUAACCUAAACCCAACGUCGAGCCAACGUCUCAAGCCAACGUCACAUUGACAUCAAAAACUUAUGUUUUGUCAUCAGGUAUGGCAACCA
ensembl:lncRNA